CCUACGGGAGGCUGCAGUGGGGAAUAUUGGACAAUGGGCGAAAGCCUGAUCCAGCCAUGCCGCGUGUGUGAAGAAGGCCUUCGGGUUGUAAAGCACUUUCAGUGGGGAAGAAAGCCUUGGGGCUAAUACCCUCGAGGAAGGACAUCACCCACAGAAGAAGCACCGGCUAACUCCGUGCCAACAGCCGCGGUAAUACGGAGGGUGCGAGCGUUAAUCGGAAUUACUGGGCGUAAAGCGCGCGUAGGCGGUCUGAUAAGCCGGUUGUGAAAGCCCCGGGCUCAACCUGGGAACGGCAUCCGGAACUGUCAGGCUAGAGUGCAGGAGAGGAAGGUAGAAUUCCCGGUGUAGCGGUGAAAUGCGUAGAGAUCGGGAGGAAUACCAGUGGCGAAGGCGGCCUUCUGGACUGACACUGACGCUGAGGUGCGAAAGCGUGGGUAGCAAACAGGAUUAGAUACCCUUGUAGUC
rnacentral:rRNA from 1 species